UACGAAGGGGGCUAGCGUUGCUCGGAAUCACUGGGCGUAAAGCGCACGUAGGCGGAUCGUUAAGUCGGGGGUGAAAUCCUGGAGCUCAACUCCAGAACUGCCUUCGAUACUGGCGAUCUUGAGUCCGGAAGAGGUGAGUGGAACUCCUAGUGUAGAGGUGGAAUUCGUAGAUAUUAGGAAGAACACCAGUGGCGAAGGCGGCUCACUGGUCCGGUACUGACGCUGAGGUGCGAAAGCGUGGGGAGCAAACAGG
rnacentral:rRNA from 1 species